rnacentral:rRNA from 1 species
UACGUAGGGCGCAAGCGUUGUCCGGAAUUAUUGGGCGUAAAGAGCUCGUAGGCGGCCAGUUGCGUCUGCUGUGAAAAUCCCCGGGGCUCAACCCCGGGCGUGCAGUGGAUACGGGCUGGCUAGAGGCAGGCAGGGGAGAACGGAAUUCCCGGUGUAGCGGUGAAAAUGCGCAGAUAUCGGGAGGAACACCGGUGGCGAAGGCGGUUCUCUGGGCCUGUACUGACGCUGAGGAGCGAAAGCGUGGGGAGCGAACAGG